rnacentral:lncRNA from 1 species
AAAACAAUUCAUUGGGCCUUUGAAAUCUUGCCAAGAACCAAGAACCAAGACUAGUGACAGAGGGGCGAGCCAGGUAGGGCAAUUAAAAUGGAAAUCGCCUUCCCUGCAGCAUAGUGUGGAGCAGGGAUACAGAAUCAGCUGCAGGGGGAGGUGGGGCCAAGUCUGGCACAGUCUGUGGGUUUGAAAGAAGCUGGGCGGGUUGGAGAAUACCAGCUAGCCUUUGUAGUUCUGAGCUCAGAGAGGGGGUGACAAACACUAGGCUUCGGUUCACGAGACUGGCUUGGAUGGCUUUUGGAGAAGUUUCCUCUCAGUUCUCAAACACUUCACAAAUAUUCACUCCAAUGUUAGUCUCCAAUCACAGCCUCAACGUGUGUCCUGGCCAGUGAAGGAGAUUUCAACUGUUUCACUGUGGGCUGAAGGAUGGGGGCCAACUCUCCCCAGUUCCCUAGAAGCAUCCGCUGGACAGAAUACAACGUCUUUGCAGAUUUCUCUUCCACUUCCCUCUUGAUUGCCCCUCCCAUAUCUCUAGGUUAAUCCCCAGGACAACAUUGCUUUGAAAGAAAAAAUGUGUGAGCCAUCUUGAAGAUUUGGACUCCAGAGGCCUCUAUGUGUCCUGCCUCUGCUAGACCCAGACAACAGACUCAAGGUGAUAGAUGUUCACAGAGAAAGUAGUAAGUUUUUGUUAAGUUUUCCUUGUUGCUAUUUUUGCUCCAGGAUCAGCUCCCUAAAGCAUGCAUGGACUCCUUCUGUCUCUGCCUCUCUCUGUCUCUGUCUGUCUGUCUGUCUGUCUCUCUUUGUGCCUCUUUCUCUGUCUCUGUCUGUCUUUCUCUCCCUUUUUUUCCUUCCUAGUAAAAAUAAAUAGUAUCCUUCUCACCCUAGACAUGAUUUAUAAAAGCAAUAAACUGCUUCUUUUUCAUGGUUCCAAUCUUGGCUUGAAGAUCUCUGUGGUUGGCCUGUAUGUGCCUGUCCUUAACCCAGUAUUUUAAAAAGCAUCUGCAUCAGCUUACACAAUCUAUACAGAUGUUCUUCUCCACGACAAAUACUAUAUAGGUGAUGUGAUCAUGCUAAGCUUAUCCUAAGACUUGCAAAGAUGUCUUCUUUGAGGGGUUUCUGUACAUUUGUGCUUUCUCAAAGGGCUAGGAGACUUUAGAAGGAGGGUGUGGUUCAGCUGAUUCAGACUCAUCCCUGACUCUUCCUGUUGCUCCUCGCUCUCUCCACCUCCUGCCCUAACUCCUCAGAUAUAACCUGAGCCAGCUGUCAAUUCAAUACCGUUGACUUCUCUUUUCCAGCCUGUUAGACUGUUAGGCAGUCCACCACUUUUCACCAUCAUGUUCAUUAUGUUUGUGGCUUCUGCAUUACCAUCAGACCAAGACAUAGGCUGAACAAUAGCAUCUACUCCUUUCAACAUCUCUCAGCCAGAAAUAAUGUAGCCAAAGCAACAAUAGUGAUACUAAUACUGUAUUUAGAAGCUCUCUAGCUCAUUUAAUCUUCCGAGAGUCUUACAGUUGUUAACUAAUUAAUCUUCAGCACACUCCAUACAUUAGAGGUAAAUAUUCUUAACCAUGACAGAAGACAUGUAUGUAUAUGCUGAGGACAGUAAAACAGUUACUUAUUUAUCAUGGUUCGCUUGAUAGAGUAACUGGUAUUUUUAAAACACCCAUCAUAGAUACAAUAAUUAGAGAUAUGCUUUUGCUAACAAAGCCACUACCCACUUCUAGCGUACCCUUGGGUACUAAAUAAUUACCCACUUUGUGUGCUUAUCUAGCUCACUAAUUACCCACAGAAAUUGGGGUCAGGUGUUAACUGCUUGAAAUAAGUAUCCUCUGAAGACAUGGCUGAGUUGUAUGGAGAAAAUGAUGUGUUCCUUAGCCCAACUUUCACAAGUCAUAUAUUUGUGUAUCUUUGUAAGCAAAGUGAACACAGACAAGGAUGAACUAGCUUAGUGUGUGGAAGUUAUGCUAGACUGUUACUGUCAAUCAGAGGGGUUUGGAGAAUGUCAUUCUGUUUGUCUGUCCUCUCCAGUUGGGUACAGUGGCCUGCUCUCAGACCCUCAUAUAUACUAGACAACCAAGGAGCCUCCUUAGGAAUGAGUCAUCUUGGCAUUACAGGGAGGCACCCAAUGAGUCAAAUCUUUUUUUUGACAGCUCCACCCUUUUUGAUUAUUUUAGCAUGUUUCUCUCUCCUUCCCCCCUCUCUCUUUUCUUUAUCAGUCUAGUACAAACACCCAGUCGGCCAAAUCUGAAAAGGAUUCUGACCCAGUCACCAACUCCUGGCAAACACCUUCCUCCUACCUAGUCAUGACAAAAAAAAAAAGUGUUAAAGAUCCUCCAACAUUCUGGAACUUCUUCUCUUUUGCCCAUUUGUCCACUUCCUCCUCCUUCCCCUCCUCCUCUCCCUCCUCCUCUCCCUCCCUUCUCUUCCCCUCUCUUUCCCCUUCCUCUGCUGCUUCAUCUCAGGAGCUCUUCCUUCCCUUUCCUUUGGCUUCCAGCCGUGCAUCUGAAGUCUCACCGUCAGAGACAAAGCACCAUGAACGUCUGUGAUGAGCACAAAGAAACUACCUUUUAAAACACCCACUUACAGGGAACCUGCAUCUUUGGCUGCCUUUCCCCCUUUCUUGCUAUUUACAGAAGCCCGUAUUCUAUUUUAACACAGCACUGUCUGUUGUCUGCAGGAUUCUAGCCUCAUUGGGAAAACUGGGUUAAGACAGCAGUAAUCCCUGUGUUUAUAGAUAAGUAGAGACCCUAAUUUUGGGAGUGGUACCAACUGUGAGGGGACACUGUACAAAAGGCAAGCGUUUAAAACCUAUGACAGCAAACCCUUCGUCUCUUGGGGGGUGGCUUCUGUUUUUUCUUGUGCCCCCCUCUUUCUCUCUGCUCUUUUUCAUCAUCCGAAGUAUUGCUUAUCAUUAUUGAGGGACAUUAGGCUGAUCAAUAAAGUAUGCCUAUAGCUGAUGAAUUGGGGGGGGGGGAUACAAAUGCUUCAGGAAUCAGGAAAAUGCCUGCCGCGGAAGCCAAGGGUUUGGCUGAGCGGAGGAGACUGAGUGAGUGGCUUUCCAAAUCCCAGGACCAUAAGUGGCAAAUUAGUGCACAUUGCAACCGGAGGCAACCGGCAAAACUCGGCCAUUCAAAGGCAAGAGUUUUAGCAUCAUGGUCAUUGUGUGCCUGAAGAGCGUCUAUGUAUCUUAAAUAUAGACUUGAGUUGUUGCUCUUUUAUGCUUUCACACACAAAUUUCAAAGAAAUGUUUGGGGUGUUGUUGACUAUCUGCCC